UAGGGAAUCUUCGGCAAUGGACGGAAGUCUGACCGAGCAACGCCGCGUGAGUGAAGAAGGUUUUCGGAUCGUAAAGCUCUGUUGUAAGAGAAGAACGAGUGUGAGAGUGGAAAGUUCACACUGUGACGGUAUCUUACCAGAAAGGGACGGCUAACUACGUGCCAGCAGCCGCGGCAAUACGUAGGUCCCGAGCGUUGUCCGGAUUUAUUGGGCGUAAAGCGAGCGCAGGCGGUUAGAUAAGUCUGAAGUUAAAGGCUGUGGCUUAACCAUAGUACGCUUUGGAAACUGUUUAACUUGAGUGCAAGAGGGGAGAGUGGAAUUCCAUGUGUAGCGGUGAAAUGCGUAGAUAUAUGGAGGAACACCGGUGGCGAAAGCGGCUCUCUGGCUUGUAACUGACGCUGAGGCUCGAAAGCGUGGGGAGCAAACAGGAUUAGAUACCCUGGUAGUCCACGCCGUAAACGAUGAGUGCUAGGUGUUAGACCCUUUCCGGGGUUUAGUGCCGCAGCUAACGCAUUAAGCACUCCGCCUGGGGAGUACGACCGCAAGGUUG
rnacentral:rRNA from 1 species